rnacentral:rRNA from 1 species
GACGAACGCUGGCGGCGUGCUUAACACAUGCAAGUCGAACGGAAAGGCCCUGCUUUUGUGGGGUGCUCGAGUGGCGAACGGGUGAGUAACACGUGAGUAACCUGCCCUUGACUUUGGGAUAACUUCAGGAAACUGGGGCUAAUACCGGAUAGGAGCUCCUGCUGCAUGGUGGGGGUUGGAAAGUUUCGGCGGUUGGGGAUGGACUCGCGGCUUAUCAGCUUGUUGGUGGGGUAGUGGCUUACCAAGGCUUUGACGGGUAGCCGGCCUGAGAGGGUGACCGGCCACAUUGGGACGGAGAUACGGCCCAGCCUCCUAGGGGGGGCAGCGGGGGGGAAUUUUGCAAAAGGGGCGGAAGCCGGAUGCAGCAACGCCGGGGGGGGGAUGACGGCCUUCGGGUUGUAAACCGCUUUCGCCUGUGACGAAGCGUGGGUGACGGUAAUGGUGAAAGAAGCACCGGCUAACUACGU